GUGAUGAAUCAAAAGCGUGCACUUACCACGAUAAAAGCACUGCCAGCUCUGAGCAGCUCCUCCUGUCAGCACAAAUCAGACAUCAGAUUGCGACUCCUCGGUAAUCCAACACUGGCUGAAGUCAUGCAGCGUUAGUCCAUUUGUGCAGGCUUCUUCCAGCUCCUUGCCUUUUCUGCUGCCUUUGUUACCCUUCUGUAAUGCUCUCUUUGUGCUGUUUCACGGUGCGUCUAAUGCAGCUCCCGGACAUUGAAAGGGCUUCUUGAAACAAAGAGCAUCUUAUCUGCUUGGUAGAGCUUUCCAAGGUGUUAUGCAAAUAACAUCCUUCCCAUUGUCUGAUGGCUGUUUGCGUUCACUAUGACUCAAAGUACAAGCUACAAAACCAGCUAUCAGUUUUCCCCUUUCAGUUCCACUUCAGUAGAAUGCCUGAAUGCCUGCAAGAGAAGUCUAAAAUUAACCUCAUAUAGUAAUGGUCGGAUAAUGAGUUGUUAAUUUCACUAAUGAUUGACAAACCAUUCUGAUACGUUAUUCUUUAAGUACCACAUUCUGAAAGAGGAACAAUAACAACAACAAGUUCUUCCGAAAAUAAUGCCUCCUGUUUAUUUCCAUGGAAACUACAAAAGAUGCAAAGAGCACAAUAACACUCUCUGGUAGAGCAAAUUCUCAGCUACGUAACUCUCUUUUUCAACAUAGUCGCCACCAGUAGCCGUACGUUCUCAGGCUGCCACUCCGCUGCCCUCUGCUGUACAGCAACAAAACAGUAUUGGUGGGAAGGUUCACUCCCUGCUGCCAUACCACCACCAUCCACCUCUGCCUUCAUGGGCCAGCAUAAUAAAACACGAGGCAGUACUUUCAGAGCAGCUCUUGUAUGUUCCAUACAAUUCCAAAUACAUGUUGAAAUAAUUUUCUUACCAUUUUUGGGAGACCUUUUUCCUUUAUGAAGUGCAUACCAGUUGUCAUGUAGCACAGUUCAAAGAAGUAUUAGUAAUGUUAAUGUUGUUCUAGCUAACAGGAAGGGAUAUACAGGAAAGAAAUCUCUUAUUAGGUCAAUCAGUGAAGUGCCCACUCCACUACAAAUAUCCUGGUGCAAAGUUCACUGCGCAUAAAACAAGCUUUGUGCACUUACCACAAAAUCAGCAGCAUGCAAACAACUCUAUUAAUCUGGAUAUCCUAGAAGUAUUAUUUCUAUUAACUCUUCCUGAUCUACUCACAAGGAGCCCUUCUGGAAGUUAUCCUGUAGAGCAUGCCUAUUUUGGCUAACAUCAUGCCAGCACAUUAUAACACAAAGCUCUGAAAGAACAUUCACCACAGUAUUUCAGAUGUUACAUGAAUUAUGUUCUGUAAGCAGCCUUUCAAUUAUUUGCAUAGUUGAUGAAGAAUGAGGUGUUCUCAUCAUUUCCAUGAGUCCAGGGCAUGUGUCCAUUCAGGCAAUGACAGGCAGCUAUUUGGUACCAAGUGUUGAGUCCUAAAUUGUUGUAUAUACCUGCAGAAUAGCUGGGGUGUUUUUCAAGUCUAUGACUGAAGGUGAAAAAACCCCAAACCAGUCGAUUUCUUUGUGGUCAAUUCUUAUUUCUCAUCAGCCACUUGGCUUGUGCUGCAAAUUAGGGGGCCUGAUGAGAAAGAAGAGCUUGCAUGUCUCAAGAAAAAAAAAAAAACUUGUAACAUGUCUGUUAAAGGAGCCAGACAGCUCCCAAGAGAAAGGCCCAGGACAGCUAAUGCUCCAACCAGUGCAGACUGUUUGCCUUAAGUUGGUGCUCUUAUGGGAAGCUUCAUAAUGGAGCUCAUAAAUAAGAAACAUCUCUAUUACAUCAACAGGAAAGAGUCAACAAAGAAGAAAAUAUUUAUCAAAGGAGAGACAGUAAAAGCUGAGGCUCUCUUCUUCCUGUGGAGUAGACAGCAUUCAAAAUAUCCUACAAACAAUGUCUUAAGACCUCUGGAGUUGUGUUAACUUUUGAAAUAUUUACGUUUACAAACAGCUAAACCAAAGCAUUACAGAUGAUACCCUCAGGCUUGAUCAGCCAGACCCUCCUGUAGACAUUCCCGCAGCCAGGACAGAACAGUGCUGUGCAUUCUGAGUGUCUGUUUCAAUAUGAAAUGAUUGCACUGCAUUGCUAUUGAGAGCAUUACAGCACAGCUCGUGAUGUUCCAUUCAAAAAGAGUUCUGUGAACGCAUUGCCACCACAGACGCACAGCGCUGGAGCAAUGUGCCAGGCCUGCAAUCACAGAAAGCUCCUGUAUUUUGAACACUGGAAUUUGGCACAUGCGGACAAAUUCGCUGUCCCAAGUUGCAGAAGAGGGAAAAGGAAGGAGGAGAAAAAGGAAGAAAGGAAAAAGAGCUCUUCAGACCCAGAGCACUGCGGGUCUCCGCGUCCCAGUGGGCGCCAUCCCCGCAGGGCCCAGCAGAGGGCAGGCCGCACACAGCAAACCGCCGAUUCGCAGCCUGGAAAUCCCCACUUCGCUUUAGGGAGGAGGGCUGUUACCGCUGGAGAUAACAAAAUGAAGGUCUUUGGUGCUUCACAUGCCUUGGUUGUGCAGAAGGGAAACUCUUCCCCGUGCAGCAGCGGCUCCUCGUAGGACUGGCACGUUUCCCAGCACACAGCCGCCAUACUCCAAGCAGAGUGCUAACAUCCCCCUGGGGGGGGCUCAUGGCCUCACACCUCCCAGCCUGACAAUGACAGCCCUACCACCACUUGCAGCUUCUGCAAGGAUUUCAUGGUUUUCCUCAACGCCCAGAGAUGAUGAUCCCUACUUGUUAGGUGGCACUGAAGGCUGCCUUGGACAACGACUGAACAGGCACACUCAUUUCACAUGCCUGUGCCUGGGGUCACGUUGGUACCAUCCAGUCCAUUGCUCUGUAACUUAGGCCUGGUUUUCCUCAGCUAUUUUAGUAAACAUUGAACAUUAAUGUCAGGAAUUUUGGGUAGAAGUAUUAAGGAUCCAAGGCUAAAGAGAAGAAAGCAUCCUGUGACAGGGAGGGAGCCUUUAGAAGUAAGCAGAUGUUUAAUAGGGCCCUACUGUAGGAUUUACUGUAAGACUGAUACUGAAACACCAUAGUGAGGGCUGCAGAAUAAAAAGCUGAAUACAAAACUCAGAAAAACUGGAAGCAUUUACUGUAAGUGCAUCCUCCCUUAAACGUUUUUAAGUAGUCCAGUGGGAAUGCAUUUCCCUGUCUGCUCAUAAAGUUCAUUUCCAUUAGCAUAUCUGGUCAAUUCUGGAGCAAUGAUGUGAAUUAAUAAGCAAUGGAACAUGCAGGAGAGAAAAGCAUGGUGGGAACACUCUAGCCCAGCACAAACAUGCAGCACUAACCCACAGUCGGGAGAAGAGGGUGAGAAGAGGAAGCUGCUGGUCACCAGCUGAAGGAGACCCAGUGUUAUUUCCCUCAACUACUAAAUUCAGCAGCAGCUCCUGGGCAAGCUGAGAGGUCCAAAGGCAUGCAUUGCUGCAGCACCAGUUUCCCACCCAUUUUAUGUGCUUCGUCCAUUUCAUCCGUUGCAUCAUCACACACUUACAUACCACUGCUGGUGAGGAAGUCCUGAGCAGGUAGUCCAAGUGAGGAAAUCAUCCACCAGGCAGAGUGAAGCUUUGCCCUGGUACUUAAAACGCAGAUGCAGACCCAAGUAUGCCUUGAGAGGAGACUCUGCAACAUCCCAGAUCCACAAACAUCUUUUUUCCCCUGGGAAAACAAAGGGAGAGCAGGAAUUGAGGAGUUGCAGCAGAUCCCAUUCAGAUGCCAGCACACCAUGGCAUCUGUUAUCC
ensembl:lncRNA